CAGAAGUCAAGGGUCAUGUCAGGUAGGGAGGUACUGAUGGUACAUGACCUUCAAAUGGCAGGGCUACAGAAGUAAAGGGUCAUGUCAGGUAGGGAGGUACUGAUGGUACAUGACCUUCAAAUGGCAGGGCUACAGAAGUAAAGGGUCAUGUCAGGCAGGGAGGUACUGCUCCAUAUCAGCUGUUCUGGGCAGACUUACAGUGUGG